rnacentral:rRNA from 1 species
CCUACGGGAGGCUGCAGUGAGGAAUAUUGGUCAAUGGGCGCGAGCCUGAACCAGCCAAGUAGCGUGAAGGCUGACUGCCCUACGGGUUGUAAACUUCUUUUACAAAGGAAUAAAGUGAGGCACGUGUGCCUGUUGGUAUGGACUUUAUGCAUCAGGCUCGCCGAACUCAGCGCCAGAGGCCGCGGUAAUACGGAGGAACCGAACGUUAUACGGAUUUAUGGGGAGUAAAGGGAGCGUAUAUGGGUUGUUAAGACAGUUGAGAAAGAUUGCGGCCCAACCAUAGAAGUGAAAUUGAUACUGGUGGUCUUGAGUACAGUAGAGGUAGGCGGAAUUCGUGGUGUAGAGGUGAAAUGCUUAGAGAUCAGGAGGAACACUGAUGGCGAAGGCGGCUGACUAAACUGCAACUGACAUUGAUGCUCGAAAGUGUGGGGAGCAAACAGGAUUAGAUACCCCUGUAGUC